UACAGAGGGGGCAAGCGUUGUUCGGAAUUACUGGGCGUAAAGGGCGCGUAGGCGGCCUGCUAAGUCGAACGUGAAAUCCCCGGGCUCAACCCGGGAACUGCGUCCGAUACUGGCAGGCUUGAAUCCGGGAGAGGGAUGUGGAAUUCCAGGUGUAGCGGUGAAAUGCGUAGAUAUCUGGAGGAACACCGGUGGCGAAGGCGGCAUCCUGGACCGGUAUUGACGCUGAGGCGCGAAAGCCAGGGGAGCAAACGGG
rnacentral:rRNA from 1 species